UACGUAGGGUGCAAGCGUUGUCCGGAAUUAUUGGGCGUAAAGAGCUCGUAGGCGGUCUGUCGCGUCUGCUGUGAAAACUCAGGGCUUAACCCUGAGCUUGCAGUGGGUACGGGCAGACUAGAGUGCGGUAGGGGAGACUGGAAUUCCUGGUGUAGCGGUGAAAUGCGCAGAUAUCAGGAGGAACACCGGUGGCGAAGGCGGUUCUCUGGGCCUUACCUGACGCUGGAGGAGCGAAAGCGUGGGAGCGAACAGG
rnacentral:rRNA from 1 species